rnacentral:rRNA from 1 species
UACGGGGGGGGCAAGCGUUGUUCGGAAUUACUGGGCGUAAAGGGCUUGUAGGUGGCCAACUAAGUCCGACGUGAAAUCCCUAGGCUUAACCUAGGAACUGCGUCGGAUACUGGAUGGCUUGAAUCCGGGAGAGGGAUGUGGAAUUCCAGGUGUAGCGGUGAAAUGCGUAGAUAUCUGGAGGAACACCGGUGGCGAAGGCGACAUCCUGGACCGGUAUUGACGCUGAGGCGCGAAAGCCAGGGGAGCAAACGGG